rnacentral:rRNA from 1 species
UACGUAGGCAGCAAGCGUUGUUCGGAAUUACUGGGCGUAAAGAGUGUGUAGGCGGUGUUCUAAGUUUGUCGUGAAAUCUCCCGGCUUAACUGGGAGGGUGCGGCGAAAACUGGAAUGCUAGAGGAUGGGAGAGGUAAGCGGAAUUCCUGGUGUAGCGGUGAAAUGCGUAGAUAUCAGGAGGAACACCGAUGGCGAAGGCAGUUCUCUGGGACGGUACUGACGCUGAGACGCGAAAGCGUGGGGAGCGAACAGG